rnacentral:tRNA from 1 species
GUGGACGUCGCCAAGUGGUAAGGCAAUGGGUUGUGACUCCAUUAUGCGCGGGUUCGAUCCCCGUCGUUCACC